UACGUAGGGUGCAAGCGUUGUCCGGAAUUAUUGGGCGUAAAGAGCGUGUAGGCGGCCAGGUAGGUCCGUUGUGAAAACUCGAGGCUCAACCUCGAGACGUCGACGGAAACCAUCUGGCUAGAGUCCGGAAGAGGAGAGUGGAAUUCCUGGUGUAGCGGUGAAAUGCGCAGAUAUCGGGAAGAACACCCGUGGCGAAGGCGGCUCUCUGGGACGGUACUGACGCUGAGACGCGAAAGCGUGGGGAGCGAACAGG
rnacentral:rRNA from 1 species